rnacentral:sRNA from 1 species
UUUUAAAAAAAAAUUUUGGCGGGAAUUUUUUUCCGAAACUUUUUGGCGGGAAAUUUAUUUUAGAAUAUUUUAGGCAAAAAAUAUUAAUAUUUUAUUUUGUUAACCUAAAUCAAUUUACAAAUAGGGGUAAAAUGGUCAUUAAAAAUUUAAAGAGGGUAUAAAUGAAAAUAGCAAAUAGAAAAGGGUAGAAUUGAAAAGAGGUAGUGUGAAAAGGGUAUUAGAAAGAAUUUUUCAAUUGUAUUUUGAUGGUUAAUUUUAGGAUUUCAUCCAUAGUAUAUCAUCCCGUGUCAAUUUCGAUCCAAACUCAUCCCACCAUAUAAACUUGUCCCGUGAAAUUAAACAUCAUUUUAACCUCGUCCCGUGAAAUUAAAACUUAAUAAAAUUU